rnacentral:rRNA from 1 species
AGAUUGAACGCUGGCGGCAGGCCUAACACAUGCAAGUCGAGCGGUAGAGAGGUGCUUGCACCUCUUGAGAGCGGCGGACGGGUGAGUAAUGCCUAGGAAUCUGCCUAGUGGUGGGGGAUAACGUUCGGAAACGGACGCUAAUACCGCAUACGUCCUACGGGAGAAAGGCGGGGGACCUUCGGGCCUCGGCGCCAUUAGAUGAGCCUAGGUCGGAUUAGCUAGUUGGUGAGGUAAUGGCUCACCAAGGCGACGAUCCGUAACUGGUCUGAGAGGAUGAUCAGUCACACUGGAACUGAGACACGGUCCAGACUCCUACGGGAGGCAGCAGUGGGAAUAGUU